rnacentral:rRNA from 1 species
UACGGGGGGGGUAAGCGUUGUUCGGAAUUACUGGGCGUAAAGGGCUCGUAGGCGGCCAACUAAGUCAGACGUGAAAUCCCUCAGCUUAACUGGGGAACUGCGUCUGAUACUGGAUGGCUUGGAUUCGGGAGAGGAAUGCGGAAUUCCAGGUGUAGCGGUGAAAUGCGUAGAUAUCAGGAGGAACACCGGUGGCGAAGGCGGGUCUCUGGGCAACAACUGACGCUGAGGAGCGAAAGCGUGGGGAGCGAACAGG